CUCUCUCCACUCAAAUUUCUCCUAUCCCCUCAAAUUUCUCGUAUCCCCUACCCCAUAUCUAUUCUCCCUCUCUCUCAUCUUCCACUUCAUCUUACUACCAGAACUCUCCGGCAAAGCAUCAAAUCCAUCCAGUUGAAGGAAGGGAUAUGUUUAAUAUAUACAUGUCAGAGUGUUUUCAAUUAACGGUUCAGUGAGAUGUAUAAUAUUUAAUUUCAUUCACAUGUGCUUAGAUCUUGAUGAGAUUUCCACUCCUUCAGAGAAAAUGGCUUUACUGAUAUGCUAUCUGCCCAUAUAUCAAUGGCAAUGCUGUUGGCCUAGAAACGGACAGGGGAAUUGAGCGAAAUAAACAUUAGGAUUUGUUCUUGAACAAAGACGACGGAGUUUGGGGCUGAACAACUUGAAUUUUCUGUUAAUAUAUUUCAAUGUAUCUCGCUGUAUUUACAUGUAUUUCAUUGUAUUCAUUGUCUUUUUUUUCAUUGUAUUUCAAUGUAUAUCGCUGUAUUCCAUGUAUUUCAUUGUAUUCACUGUCUCGUUGUAUUCCAUGAAUGUGUUCAUAUAUUUUUUUAAUUAAUAUAAUUUAUAUAUUCAGAUGUGUAUAUGUAUUCAAAUUGCUAUGUUUUUGUUGUAUUUAUCGGCUAGGAAAAAUAUUGAGUAUAUUUUCUCUGAAGAUUGCUAUGCUUUUGGAGUGUUUUUCGGAUGAGAAUCUUUUUUAUAAUUGAAAAUACAAAUUUUGUGUUAUAAUUGAGUUUGUUGAGUUAUAUAAGGAGUCUAUUAUGUUAAUUGAUUCACUUUCCGUUUGAAAACGGCUGAAUAGACCAUAAAUUGCGCUAUUUACGUUACUGUAUUCACAAAUACAUAUCGUGAAUAUAAUCGAAUACAAUAAUCUGUCUAGUUGUAAUCCCCUGUUUCACGCCGUGAAUACAAUCGAAUACAAAAAUUUGUCUAGCUGUAAUCCCCUGUUUCACGUCUAGAAAUAUUACUAUAUUUAUAAAUACAGUAGUUUAAAUACAUCGAAUACACCCUAAAAAACCUGAAAACAUAGCUAUAAGAAAUAAUAUAGUAAAUAGUAGCUACAACUAGCUAAUAACCAUUAAAACAUACUAGUGGUUUCUGAACGAUCGAACAAUACAUGUUUUAAUUAAUUAAUGUUCUAAGCUAAAUAUAUCAAACCAGAAUUUAUCAAUAAGUGAGUGUUUAAAGUGCAAUUAUCCCCAUUACAUCAAACUUUAAUGAAAUUAUUAAUAGUGCCGAAAUUAAAGUGGGAAGCAUUGAUUAGGAUAUAAUAAAGUAGCUGUCAAAAGGAAGUUUCGAGUUGUAAUGUAACAGAAUCAUGUCUGUGCUUUAUCUCCUAAUUAGGUCAUUUUCUAACAAAAUUGAAUGGUAUAUAUGAGGAUAAGAAAAAAAAAAA
rnacentral:lncRNA from 1 species